rnacentral:lncRNA from 1 species
GAAGAGAGACUCUUCCUGGCGGCCUUCAGAUCAAGAACUCUCAGCUCCUUCUCCAACACCAUGUCUGCCUAAAUAUUGCCAUGCUUCCUGCUGUCAUGAUAAUGGACUGAAUCUCUGAAACUGUAGGCUAGCUCUAAGUAAAUAUGUUGUCCUUUAUAAGAGUGGUCUUGGUCAUGGUAUCUCUUCACAGCAAUGGAAAUCUUAACUAAGAAAAUGACCAUAGAGUAAGCCUUUGAAAAUAAGGGCAUAAUAGCAGAGUAUUGCCUGGUACACUCUGACUACUUGAUGUUACUUCCUGAACCAUAACCUGUUACCAGAGGUGUCACAUUAUAGUUUGACUGGAGUCACAUCCAGUAAGACCAGGGAUCACCUGAUAGUUUAGAUAAGUCUUCUCGGGUGACUCUAUACAGCUGUUACUAUGUUUGGCUUAUUUUCUGUUAAAUACAUUCAGAAAUUGUUUUCAUCUAGAUAGAGAUGGUAAAACUCUUGGCAGUGACUACACACACACACACACACACACACACACACACACAAAACCAAAAAAAAAACCAAAAUGCCCUAAAUCCACCAGAGAUGAUUUAUUUGAAAGCCCAGAGAUCUGUUGUGUUAAUUUAUGAUUGUUAAAACUAUUAAGUACAUAUUUGCUGAGAUGUGUAUUCUCUUCCUUUAGAUAAUUGUGCACAAUGCUUAAUUGCGACUGAAGCUUGCUUAAUGAGAAUGCAAUUAUAAGACAUUGAGUGGAUAUCUUGUAUUUAUGAACUAUGAUGUUCUGGUUCACUUUUGGGUACUCUCUACAAUGAGUAUCCCAGACCUGGAAUUUGAGUGCAGGAAUAGCUACUUUCCAGCUUUUCCCCAGAAUGCUUAUCUGAUUCUGUACUAGAGAGUGAUAUGUUUUGAAAUGAUUCAAGUAUACUCAUAGCAUCUUUUUUAUUUUAUUUUAUUUUUUUAGAUUUUAUUUAUUUAUUUAUUUAUUUAUUUAACAGAUAUUUUCUUUAUUUACAUUUUAAAUGUUAUCACCCCUUUCCUAGUUUCCCCUCUGAAAAUCCCCUAUCACCUCCCCUCUCCCCCUACUCCUCAACCCACCCACUCCCAUUUUUGGCCCUGGAAUUCCCCUAUACUGGGGCAUGGAACCUUCACAGGACCUAGGGCUUCUCCUCCCAUUGAUAACCGACUAGGCCAUCCUCUGCUACAUAUGCAGCUAGAAACACAAGUUCCACCAUGUGUUUUCUUUGAUUGGUGGUUUAGUCCCAAGGAGCUCUGGGGGUACUGGUUAGUUCAUAUUGUUGUUCCUCCUAUGGGGCUGCGAAUCCCUUCAGCUCCUUGGGUACUUUCUCUAGCUCCUCCAUUGGGCAUCUUAAUGGAAGACUGCAUGGAUUCCUCGACUGCAGUAUCAUGCAGCAGCCUCAUAGUCUUGAGAUAAGACCAAUCAUCACAUUCUUUCACCCUGAGUCUGGUAGUGACUUCUCACCUCAUUUGCAGUAGAGGCCACAGUGUUGGCACUGACUUUUGUGGAUGACCACAUCUUUGUUUACUUGCGUAAGACCUGAGCUUUUGCUUCUUUUUCUGACAGCUCAUUGAUUUCCUUUCACAGAAAACUUUCAAUUGUUUUUGAAGUUUUAUUAUUAAUAUUUUCUUUAAUACAUUAAUUUGACUAUGACUAACUCCAAAGCAUCUUCUUGAUCUAGUUCAGACAGAGUAUCAGUCACAAUACCUUUUCAUGAUAGUACUCAGGGAGAUGGCUCUGAAGUCUAAGAGUGAGAACAUAAGCUAACCUCUCUGGUCUUAGGUAGUAGCAGAAGAAAUCUGCUAGUCAGUCUGUAUGCUGCCAUGCUGUGGUCCAUGCGAUGCAUACCUGGAACAUCUGGGGUCAGUAAGUAGUGAGAAAAUCACACAUACAAUCAUAGGGAUUAGAGUUUAGUAUUGUUAUUCCAAAUACUAUACUAUGAAUGGUAUGAAAGCAGUUGGCUUAAAGCAAAACGGAAACCAAAUCUUCAGGUCUCAUGCUCAGCUGCAGGAAGUGUUCUUGCAGAUCUCUGUGAGAUACACAUGUCCACUUCUAGCAAAGCACUUUUGUAAACAUUUCUUUGCUUCUUUCUCUCUCUCUCUUUCUCUUUCUCUCUCUCUCUCUUCCUUCCUUCCUUCCUUCCUUCCUCUCUCUUUCUCUCUCUCUUUCUUUCUCUCUCUUUCUUUCUUUCUCUCUCUCCUUCUCUUUCUCUCUUUCUUUCUUUCUUUCUUUCUUUCUUUCUUUCUUUCUUUCUUUCUUCCCUUCUUUCUCUCUCUCUUUCUUUUCUUUCUUUCUAUCUUUCUUUCUCUCUUUCUCUCUUUCUUUCUCUCUCUCUUUCUUUCUUUCUCUCUCUCUUUCUUUCUCUCUUUCUUCUCUCUCUCUCUCUCCCCCCCCUCUGUUCCUCUCUCUUUGUCUCUUUUUCCUUGUUUUUGCUCACUUUCAAUUCCACAUUUUCUUCUGCUUAUAUGCAAGGUGGGAAGAGUAGACUGUCUUUGAAAGUCAUCAAAAUAUGCUAUAUUAACUCACUGUCAUCAGAGGUCUCAAUUAGAAAAUCAGAACAUUCCAAGCUUUUUGAUUUAUUUUUUUACCCGAUGUACAGCAUCAAAAUAAAACCUCUGGAAGUUCAUUUGUUCAUUAUCUUGUUAAAAAAAUAAAACAAACAAUAUCACUAAUAUCAGUACAGUAAGUUGAAAUAGUUUAACAAUGAAGAUAGUAAAAUUUUAUGGUAAGAAUAAGAAAACAGAUUGUGAAUAGCAUCACAAUAAAGUGUUCUUACCAACUUAACCCCAAUAGCAGAAAUGUGUCAGAAGAAGAAUGUAAAGUGCACAGAAUUCUCGACUUCAUCAAAACACACAGCAGCAUUUUGUCCCUCAAAACUAAAACUAUUAAGACUGGCAAAUAUUUUGGCUGUUACCCUCUGGCUUUUGAAAAUGUCCAACCUCUGAAAACUCAUUUCCUAAAGCUUAGGUUGCCUUAUGUGCAAAAUCAGCUGGAGAUCUGUAAUCAAAUUAUACAAGCAAGAUAGAUCGAAAAAGUGUUUGUUAACAAAGUACAAUUGAGCAGCUCUAAUUUUUCCUAGC